UACAGAGGCUGCAAGCGUUAUUCGGAUUCACUGGGCGUAAAGGGUGCGCAGGCGGCCAAGUGUGUUAGGCGUGAAAGCCUGGGGCUUAACCCCAGAAUUGCACCUAAAACUACAUGGCUAGAGCAUUGGAGAGGGUAGCGGAAUUCACGGUGUAGCAGUGAAAUGCGUAGAUAUCGUGAGGAACACCAGAGGCGAAGGCGGCUACCUGGACAAUUGCUGACGCUCAGGCACGAAAGCGUGGGGAGCAAAAGGG
rnacentral:rRNA from 1 species